rnacentral:tRNA from 1 species
GGGCUUGUGGCGCAACGGAUAACGCGGUCUGACUACGGAUCAGAAGAUUCCAGGUUCGAAUCCUGGCAGGCUCG